rnacentral:rRNA from 1 species
CAAUAGCGUAUAUUAAAGUUGUUGCAGUUAAAAAGCUCGUAGUUGGACCUUGGACCUGGACAGGCGGUCCGCCUCACGGCGAGUACUGUCUUGCUGGGUCUUUCCUCUUGGUGAUCUGUUGUUUCGGCAGCAGGGAACCAGGACCUUUACUUUGAAAAAAUUAGAGUGUUCAAAGCAGGCUCGACGCCGGAAUAUAUUAGCAUGGAAUAAUAAAAUAGGACGUGCGGUUCUAUUUUGUUGGCUUUUGGAAUCGCCGUAAUGAUUAAUAGGGACAGUCGGGGGCAUUAGUACUCACAUGCUAGAGGUGAAAUUCUUGGAUUUUGUGAAGGCUAACUUCUGCGAAAGCAUUUGACAAGGAUGUUUUCAUUAA